UGGGGAAUAUUGGACAAUGGGCGCAAGCCUGAUCCAGCCAUGCCGCGUGAGUGAUGAAGGCCCUAGGGUUGUAAAGCUCUUUCACCGGUGAAGAUAAUGACGGUAACCGGAGAAGAAGCCCCGGCCAACUUCGUGCCAGCAGCCGCGGUAAUAAGAAGGGGGCUAGCGUUGUUCGGAUUUACUGGGCGUAAAGCGCACGUAGGCGGACUAUUAAGUCAGGGGUGAAAUCCCGGGGCUCAACCCCGGAACUGCCGUUGAUACUGGUAGUCUUGAGUUCGGAAGAGGAGAGUGGAAUUCCGGGUGUAGAGGUGAAAUUCGUAGAUAUUCGGAGGAACACAAGUGUCGAAGGCGGCUCACUGGCUCGUAACUGACGCUGAGGUGCGAAAGCGUGGGGAGCAAACAGG
rnacentral:rRNA from 1 species